AUGCCACAAGUCAAGUCUAGUAACAAGAACAAAAAAGAUUCUUCUUCUAGUAGUAACAAUAAUCAUGCUAAAUCCAAUGUUGUUGCUUCUAGUAGUUCUCUAGAUUCCACUAAUGAUUCUCUUAGCCAAGUUACACUUGAGCAAGAAAAUAGCUUAUUGAAGGGAAUUAUAGAGAAAGGUGUUUACAAGAGUCUUGCCGGAAGUAAGCAAUUCGAAGAAAUUGUACGCAAGCAAAGAAGGCACCUAAAGAAUCAAGGUGUUGGUUUUGAACGAAAGUUCAAUGCCAAUGAAGUUGAGUGGGAAGAAGAUCAAUACCCCAAGACGAAGUUUGUUCCUCAACAAGAGAAGUAUGAUCCUACUUCUUUCAAAGGGACACAAGCUCAAGAUGAUCUUCCACCACAAGACCACAAGCAAAAAGGCAAGGACAAGCUUCAAGAGGAUAUUGAUGCAUUUGAAGAAGCUCCUAUGGCCUUGGUCAAGUGGGUUCCAAGACUACAUCAAGUUCUACUUCAACAAGUACAACUACAACUCCAAGGAUUCCCAUCAUGA
rnacentral:rRNA from 1 species